AUGAUUUAUAGCUGGAUUAUCCUCUUCUUAUUGGCCACAUCCAUAGCUGUCCACUCCCAGGUCCAGCUGCAGCAGUCUGGGGCUGAGCUGGAGAAGCCUGCAGCUUCAGUGACAUUGUCCUGCAAGACUUCUGGUUACACCUUCACCAACAAUUAUUUGCACUGGGUGAAGCAGAGUCCCAGACAGGGACUGGAGUGGAUUGGAUGGAUUGGUCCUACAAAUGGUGAUACUAGCUAUGCCCAGAAGUUCAAAGGCAAGGCCACAUUGACUGUAGACAUAUCAGCCAGCACAACCUACCUUCAGCUCAGCAGUCUGACAUCUGAAGACUCUGCCAUCUAUUACUGUGCCAGACAAAGACACAGUGUUUAA